rnacentral:rRNA from 1 species
UACGAAAGGGGCUAGCGUUGUUCGGAAUUACUGGGCGUAAAGCGCACGUAGGCGGCCUUGUAAGUUGGGGGUGAAAUCCCCGGGCUCAACCCGGGAACUGCCUUCAAGACUGCAAAGCUCGAGGAUGCGAGAGGUUAGCGGAAUUCCGAGUGUAGAGGUGAAAUUCGUAGAUAUUCGGAAGAACACCAGUGGCGAAGGCGGCUAACUGGAGCAUUUCUGACGCUGAGGUGCGAAAGCGUGGGGAGCAAACAGG